GUAGGUGGCAAGCGUUGUCCGGGAAUUAUUGGGGCGUAAAGCGCGCGCAGGCGGUUCUUUAAGUCUGGAUGUGAAAGCCCACGGGCUCAACCGUGGGAGGGUCAUUGGAAACUGGAGAACUUGAGUACAGAAGAGGAAAGCGGAACUCCACGUGUAGCGGUGAAAUGCAUAGAGAUGUGGAGGGACACCAGUGGCGAAGGCGGCUUUCUGGUCUGUAACUGACGCUGAGGCGCGAAAGCGUGGGGAGCAAACAGGAUUAGAUACCCUGGUAGUCCACGCCGUAAACGAUGAGUGCUAAGUGUUAGGGGGUUUCCGCCCCUUAGUGCUGCAGCUAACGCAUUAAGCACUCCGCCUGGGGAGUACGGCCGCAAAGGCUGA
rnacentral:rRNA from 1 species